CACAAAUGGGGUUGAAGAGAACCUACAGGACAGGGGAUCUCCAGGAACAGGGUUGGGCAGUGCUGGUGUACAGUAAGAAGAAAGGCUGGCAGGGGAGAGCUGCAGGUCUAUACAAGCCAGCAAAAUAGAACCCUGGAAACAUGGGAGAGGACCUCAAACACACUUAGUGCUGGAGAUCACCCUAUGAAUGGCAGACAAGCGCCAGAUGAUCCACAUUAUGCUGUGGGAGUGGCCAUCCCAUACCCUCCCCUUCACUGCCAGAAAACACCUUAAACACCUCCUGGGACAUCCCG